GUCGUUGCGAUAGUAAUCCUGCUCAGUACGAGAGGAACCGCAGGUUCGGACAUUUGGUUCACGCACUCGGUCGAGCGGCCGGUGGCGCGAAGCUACCAUCCGUGGGAUUAUGCCUGAGCGCCUCUAAGGCCUCUAAGCCAAAGGAGGCAACGAU
rnacentral:ncRNA from 1 species